ACACCGGCAGCCCAAGUGGUGGCCAUUUUUAUUGGGCCUAAAGCGUUCGUAGCCGGCCUGAUAAGUCUCUGGUGAAAUCCCGCAGCUUAACUGUGGGAAUUGCUGGAGAUACUAUCAGGCUUGAGGUCGGGAGAGGUUAGAGGUACUCCCAGGGUAGGGGUGAAAUCCUAUAAUCCUGGGAGGACCACCUGUGGUGAAGGCGUCUAACUGGAACGAACCUGACGGUGAGUAACGAAAGCCAGGGGCGCGAACCGGAUUAGAUACGAGGGUAGUCCUGGCAGUAAACGAUGUGGACUUGGUGUUGGGAUGGCCUCGAGCUGCCGCAGUGCCGAAGGGAAGCUGUUAAGUCCACCGCCUGGGAAGUACGGUCGCAAGACUGAA
rnacentral:rRNA from 1 species